rnacentral:rRNA from 1 species
GAUGAACGCUGGCGGCGUGCUUAACACAUGCAAGUCGAACGGAAAUGUAAGGAAGCCUAGCGAAUUACAUUUUAGUGGCGGACGGGUGAGUAACGCGUGGAUAACCUGCCUUAUACUGGGGGAUAACAGUUAGAAAUGACUGCUAAUACCGCAUAAGCAUACGGAACCGCAUGGUUCUGUGUGAAAAACUCCGGUGGUAUAAGAUGGAUCCGCGUCUGAUUAGCUAGUUGGUGAGGUAAUGGCUCACCAAGGCGACGAUCAGUAGCCGGCCUGAGAGGGUGAACGGCCACAUUGGGACUGAGACACGGCCCAAACUCCUACGGGAGGCAGCAGUGGGGAAUAUUGCACAAUGGGCGAAAGCCUGAUGCAGCGACGCCGCGUGAGUGAAGAAGUAUUUCGGUAUGUAAAGCUCUAUCAGCAAGGAAGAAAAUGACGGUACUUGACUAAGAAGCCCCGGCUAACUACGUG